AACGAACGCUGGCGGCAGGCUUAACACAUGCAAGUCGAACGAGAUCUUCGGAUCUAGUGGCAGACGGGUGAGGAACACGUGGGAACAUCCCUUUCAGUUCGGAAUAACGUUGGGAAACUAACGCUAAUACCGGAUACGUCCUUCGGGAGAAAGAUUUAUCGCUGAAAGAUUGGCCCGCGUCUGAUUAGCUAGUUGGUGAGGUAAUGGCUCACCAAGGCUACGAUCAGUAGCUGAUCUGAGAGGAUGAUCAGCCACAUUGGGACUGAGACACGGCCCAAACUCCUACGGGAGGCAGCAGUGGGGAAUAUUGGACAAUGGGCGCAAGCCUGAUCCAGCCAUGCCGCGUGAGUGAUGAAGGCCCUAGGGUUGUAAAGCUCUUUCACCGGUGAAGAUAAUGACGGUAACCGGAGAAGAAGCCCCGGCUAACUUCGUGCCAGCAGCCGCCGUAA
rnacentral:rRNA from 1 species